rnacentral:lncRNA from 1 species
GUUGGACGUAAACAACAUAUCUUGUCUACAACUUUGAGAAGGUACAGAUAAUUCCUUCUAAUAUCCUUAGUUCUGGAUCUAUUUCUACAAAAUCACAAGGACGUUAAUGUUAAGUCUUUGGGCUAUGUCUCUGGGCUGAGAAAUAAUUUCUUACAUGCGAUCAAAAUGUUUUAUACAAAGAUAUAAAACGGUAAUCUAUAUGUAAUGGAUCAGCACUGAAAUUUCCAGCACGGUUUCCAAGACGUAAUUCAAGAGAUAACUUAUCAUUGCAUUUGAACUAUUACAACAGUUGGUGUUAUACUGAGCGAUAAGCGAGUAUUAUUGGAAAGAGGGCUUCUAUAUACGUCGAAAUCAUCAAAUAAACAGCUCAUGCACACAUUUCUCCACUUCGCGGUAAGUUUACAGAGCGUAUUUUAUACUUUGUGACUGAUCUUUGUCUUUGAUGUGAACAUUUAUUCUUAUAGUUUAAGGUUAUUUAAGAUUGAUCCUGUCGUAAGUCUUCUACCUGCAACCAUUCGACAAUAUUUCGUUUUAGCGUUAUCUUUGCCGUUACGUUGGCUUCGCGUUACUUUUGUUUUAAAUAUCUUGAUCGCGUUAAAAGAGUUAUUUUUCAGGCCAGUGACAUAGCUAAAAGACUUGACAUUAACGUCAUUGUGAUUUUAAAGA